rnacentral:lncRNA from 1 species
ACUUGACAGCUGUGGAUAUGCUAUUGGCACCGAGUAGGCAGACAAUAGGGAUGCUGAUAAAUAUCCUGCAAAGGACAAAGAAUUGUCCAGCCCAAAAUGUCAGUAGCACUGAAUUUGUGAAACCCUGUUGUAGAGAAAGAUCACUUGACACAAGUAAUCAUUGAGCAUUCACUGUUUUGUAUUUAAUGCACUACAUUUGUAAAAAUGAAAGCAUAAAUCAUAAGCCAGUCUCAUUCACAGCAAGAUUUCUUUAAUGUAUGGGGAAAGUAUUGACAUUAUAAUUCAUCACAUGUAAGAAUCACUGCCAAAUGAUGAGUGUUCUGAAAGAAUGUCUUUUUCCCCUCCUUUGGCUUAUGUCUUUUUUUAUAGAAAUCUUCGUGACAAUUUGCUCAUAGAGCUGAGCUUGGGAACAUUUCAGACAUGGCAUGGAAUGCAGUUUUUCCACCAGUUAUGUACUGGACCCCAGGCUUAUCUCGGCCAUCAAAUGCACAAAGAAGAUUGUGACCGGAUUAGGGGGAAUGAAGAACUGGGCAAAAUGGAAGUUGCACUGUUCAGGACGGACACUCUCCCACUGGGUGACGGGAUGUCAGUUGGGAUGAAACAAUGUGCUGGCCCACUGGGGAGUCAGCCCAGGACCUCGGUCUUGGAACUUGGAGAUUCUUCACUAAAUCUUCCUCUUGCUUCUACUUUAUGUUAAUUUCUUCUCUUUCCAUUCACUAGUAAAACUGACCAGAGUCCCAGGAAUAAAUGCCUUUUUAGACUUCCUACCCUGUGACCA